CCAGCGAAGCAGCCCACCACUCCUACCCCUCCAUCCGGCCACCGAGCUAGCACGACUUGACGCCCACACUGCCAAAGUGCCAAGUGCCACUGCCCCUGCCACCAGCCCACCACCAGACCCGCCACCUUCGCGCUCCACGGCAGCGGCAUGUCCGUCGCCUCCUCCCACCGCCUGCGACCGUCGCCGUCGGGCCCGGCGCGGCGCCCGGGAUCCGCGGCGCCGCGCGUAGCGUUCUGGCCAGCCGGUGCCUCGCCCCCGUAUCGCGGCCGCUGCACCGUCGUGGCGGCGGCGGCUGCCGCUGGCGCCGGCGGCGAGGCAUCUUCGGCCCCCGUGGCUGUGUCGGCUGUCGCCCCCGCGGGCGCUGCCAGGGACAAGGUGCGGCGCCACACGAUUUCGGUGUUCGUCGGGGACGAGAGCGGCAUGAUCAACCGGAUCGCAGGGGUGUUCGCCAGGAGAGGCUACAACAUCGAGUCGCUCGCCGUGGGGCUCAACAAGGACAAGGCCCUCUUCACCAUUGUCGUCUCCGGGACCGACAGGGUGCUCAACCAAGUCAUCGAGCAGCUCAAUAAGCUUGUCAACGUCCUGAGUGUGGAAGAUCUAUCUAAAGAACCUCAGGUUGAAAGAGAGCUGAUGCUUAUAAAACUAAAUGUUGAACCUGAUCAGCGUCCUGAGGUCAUGGUUUUAGUUGAUAUUUUCAGAGCAAAAGUUGUUGAUAUAUCUGAGAAAACACUUACCAUGGAGGUAGCUGGAGAUCCUGGCAAAAUUGCUGCAGUGCAGAGGAAUCUAUGGAAAUUUGGAAUCAAAGAAAUUUGCAGGACAGGAAAAAUUGCUUUGAGACGUGAAAGGAUUGGUGCAACAGCCCGUUUCUGGCGAUUUUCUGCUGCUUCUUACCCAGACCUGAUAGAUGCGUUGCCGAAAAAUCCACUUACAUCUGUAAAUAGGACAGUUAAUGGCAGUUUUGGUCAACCAUCCAAUGCUGGGGGUGAUGUUUAUCCUGUGGAAUCUUACGAGAGCUUAUCAGUGAACCAUGUACUUGAUGCUCAUUGGGGUGUUCUGGAUGAUGAUGAUGCGACUGGACUUCGCUCGCAUACUCUCUCCAUCCUUGUGAAUGACUGUCCUGGUGUCCUCAACAUUGUAACAGGAGUCUUUGCUCGCAGGGGCUACAAUAUACAGAGCCUUGCUGUUGGCCCAGCUGAGAAGGAAGGCAUUUCGCGGAUUACAACAGUUGUUCCUGGUACUGUUGAAUCCAUUGAGAAGUUAGUUCAGCAGCUUUACAAGCUUAUUGAUGUGCACGAAGUUCAUGACAUUACCCACUCACCUUUUGCUGAAAGGGAACUUAUGCUUAUUAAGGUUUCUGUCAACACUGCUGCUCGGAAGGAAAUCCUAGAUAUUGCUGAAAUCUUCCGAGCAAAACCUGUUGAUGUUUCUGACCACACAGUAACGCUUCAGUACCCGUUUGUGGUAACAGUAACAACAUCAUACCCAUGAAGAAACACUGAAUGUUUGAUGCCGCUUACUGGAGAUCUUGACAAGAUGGUUGCACUACAAAGGUUAUUGGAGCCAUAUGGCAUCUGUGAGGUCGCCAGAACUGGACGAGUAGCACUGGUCCGCGAAUCGAAGGUGGACUCCAAGUACCUCCGCGGCUACUCUCUUCCACUGUAGCCUUGCAGUCGUGAUGAUGAUGGCACCAUGAAGAGCUCGGCUGGUUGUUUAUAGAGCAGACCAUCUCGCGCUGGGUUGUGUUGUGCGAUUACAGGACUUGUUUCUUUCAUGUCGUGAACUCCCCCGGCCUGCGUGUCCAAUAACGCGUGUUGAGGCUGCAUGUGUAUUCCAACGACUGUCAGAAUAAGAUGCAUAUCGUAUCUGUUUACUUCAGUGAAGAGAUGCAUGGAUCGUUCGAAAUCA